rnacentral:rRNA from 1 species
AUUGAACGCUAGCGGGAUGCUUUACACAUGCAAGUCGAACGAGUGGCGGACGGGUGAGUAAUAUAUCGGAACGUGCCCAGUAGCGGGGGAUAACUACUCGAAAGAGUGGCUAAUACCGCAUAUGUUGGGAGGGGCCGAUAUCGGAUUAGGUGGUUGGUGGGGUAAGGGCUAACCAAGGCAACGAUCCGUAGCUGGUUUGAGAGGACGACCAGCCACACUGGGACUGAGACACGGCCCAGACUCCUACGGUAGGCAGCAGUGGGGAAUUUUGGACAAUGGGGGAAACCCUGAUCCAGCCAUCCCGCGUGUAUGAGAAGGCCUUCGGGUUGUAAAGUACUUUUGGCAGAGAAGCGGUAUCUGCAGAAUAAGCACCGGCUAACUACGUGCCAGCAGCCGCGGUAAUUC